rnacentral:rRNA from 1 species
CCUACGGGUGGCUGCAGUGGGGAAUAUUGGACAAUGGGGGCAACCCUGAUCCAGCCAUGCCGCGUGUGUGAAGAAGGCCCUCGGGUUGUAAAGCACUUUCAGUGAGGAAGAACGCCUGGUGGUUAAUACCCAUCAGGAAAGACAUCACUCACAGAAGAAGCACCGGCUAACUCCGUGCCAGCAGCCGCGGUAAUACGGAGGGUGCGAGCGUUAAUCGGAAUUACUGGGCGUAAAGCGCGCGUAGGUGGCUUGAUAAGCCGGUUGUGAAAGCCCCGGGCUCAACCUGGGAACGGCAUCCGGAACUGUCAAGCUAGAGUGCAGGAGAGGAAGGUAGAAUUCCCGGUGUAGCGGUGAAAUGCGUAGAGAUCGGGAGGAAUACCAGUGGCGAAGGCGGCCUUCUGGACUGACACUGACACUGAGGUGCGAAAGCGUGGGUAGCAAACAGGAUUAGAUACUCCAGUAGUC